rnacentral:rRNA from 1 species
CCUACGGGAGGCUGCAGUGAGGAAUAUUGGUCAAUGGACGAGAGUCUGAACCAGCCAAGUAGCGUGAAGGAUGACUGCCCUAUGGGUUGUAAACUUCUUUUAUAUGGGAAUAAAAUGUUCCACGUGUGGGAUUUUGUAUGUACCAUAUGAAUAAGGAUCGGCUAACUCCGUGCCAGCAGCCGCGGUAAUACGGAGGAUCCGAGCGUUAUCCGGAUUUAUUGGGUUUAAAGGGAGCGUAGGUGGAUUGUUAAGUCAGUUGUGAAAGUUUGCGGCUCAACCGUAAAAUUGCAGUUGAAACUGGCAGUCUUGAGUGCAGUAGAGGUGGGCGGAAGUCGUGGUGUAGCGGUGAAAUGCUUAGAUAUCACGAAGAACUCCGAUUGCGAAGGCAGUUCACUGGACUGCAACUGACACUGAGGCUCGAAAGUGUGGGUAUCAAACAGGAUUAGAUACCCGGGUAGUC